UUGAACUCGUCUGAAUGAAUGAUUGAUGAACCCAGAGAAAGCUAUGAGUGGAGGAGGAUUGGUGUUUCAGUUCCAUUUCCAGUUUCAGCAUAGUAUAGUAAAUGGAAUUGUCAUUGGCAGCAACAACCAAAGCUGUCAAACGUUUGCUUCCUCCAAUUCCCAUUCCAAACGCAGGUGUCCAACUCUUGCAACAACUAUCACCCAUGCCUUUCCUCUCUCCGGCUCCGGCUCCGGCUCCGGCGCCGAAUAUCCGUAUGCUUCCUCCAAUUCCCAUUCCGAACGCAGGUGUCCAACUCUUGCAACAACUAUCACCCAUGCCUUUUCUCUCCCCGGCUCCGGCUCCGGCGCCGAAUAUCCUGCAGGAGAAUUAAUGGACGCCAGUAGGAAGCAGCAAAAGAAGAGAAUAGCAGGCAUUGAUCAAGAUGAAUUGUUGGAUCCAAAACUCCUAGCUGAUCCAGACAGUUGCUUUUGUGAGUUUAGAGGGGUUGAAAUCCAUCACAAGCUUUAUGACGCACAGUCAUAUUCUUCAGAUAACUCCUUGCUCAGCCACAGCCAGGAUGCCCAGGACCAGAGCCCAACCCCAUCCUUGAAGCUCGGUCUUCCUCUGGUUCUGCUACAUGGUUUUGGAGCUUCUGUUUUCUCAUGGAACAAAGUUAUGAAGCGCUUGGCACACCUCACAGGCUCCAAAGUGCUUGCCUUUGAUAGACCAGCCUUUGGCUUGACAUCAAGACUCAAUACUUUUGGGACCAAAAUUAGUGAUGCAAAACCUCUGAAUCCCUACUCCAUGGCGUUUUCUGUGCUUGCUACCUUGUACUUCAUUGAUUUCUUGGCUGCUGAAAAGGCAAUUCUGGUGGGGCAUUCAGCUGGUUCUCUUGUCGCACUUGAUGCAUAUUUUGAAGCUCCUGAACGUAUUGCUGCUCUGAUCUUUGUUGCCCCAGCGAUAUUGGCUCCACUUGCUAUUCCCAAGAUUGUUGAAGGAGACCUCUCUGAAAGAAAUAACCAGACUAAACGAGACAGGUCAGACUCAAAUAAUCUAGGGAAGCCGCUGUUUAAGGUUUUUGAAAUUUUGUCCAAGUUUACCAAGUAUGUCACAGAGGCAAUAAUGCAAAUGAUAAAGAGGAUGGGAGGUGUGCUCAACUCUCUGUAUAAGAAAGCACUUUCUUCUAUUCUUCGAUCUGCCUUGGGUGUAAUGCUGGUAAGGAUGAUAAUUGAUAAAUUUGGUGUUGCUGCUGUAAGGACUGCAUGGUACGAUUCAAAACAAGUCAACGAACACAUCGUAGAUGGGUAUAUCAAGGUUACACCAACAUUUGUAUCCUAUGCAGCCACUGAGAGCUAAGGAUUGGGAUAGGGCUCUUGUAGAAUUCACAGCAGCAAUGCUUAUAAAUGGCAAGUCCGAAAUGAAGCCACCACUGGCAAAAAGACUUCACGAAAUUUCCUGUCCUGUUCUGAUUGUCACGGGUGACACUGAUCGAAUAGUUCCUGCUUGGAAUGCUAAGAGACUUUCACGGGCCAUCCCUCAAUCUAAGCUUGAAGUAAUAAAGAAUUGUGGACACUUGCCCCACGAAGAAAAGGCUGAAGAGUUUGUUAGAGUUGUUGAGAAGUUUCUGCAAAGAGCAUUUGGUGGUUCAGAGGAGCAUUCUCUACAAGCAAUAACUUGAAACUUGUUCACCUCUUAUUAAACAUGUUAUUAUGGUUAAAGGCAGAAAUUUCUGGUUGAUUCCCCUUCCCCAAUCUUGCAUUUGGAUUUGGAGGAAAACUAAGAAGCUUUGAUCUACUGCUAUUCCUCUUAUUAAACAUGUUAUUGACAAUGGUAGGAGAACAAUUUUUUGGAUUGACAACUGGCACUCUCAAGGUCCCCUUUUGCAUCUUUAUUCCAGCAGCAUUAUGUUAGCUAGUGGUCUUUCUAAGGAAGCCUGGGUAGAUAACGUUAUCAGAAACAAUUCCAGGCAUUGGCCUCAAACUUGUUUCUCAACUCUCCAAGAUAUUCAAACAGCUACUGAUGGGAUUCCUUCUCCUGAUUUUCAACAAGCUGACUCCCUAUUUGUGUGGCAUCAAAGUGUCGUCAAUUCACCGUUACCAAGACUUGGAAAUAUUUGAGACAUAAUCAGGACCAAGUUUCUUGGCAUAAACGCAUCCAUUUUCAUUCUGACAUUCCUACACACUCUUCUAUUGCUUGUUUAUGCAUCCUUGAUAGGCUACUACUUAUCACGCCUAUAUAAUUAGGGGAUUUCUUUGCAAUCUACAACAUGUUACCUGUGUGACAAUUCUGAAGACUGCAGAUAUCAUAUAAUUUUUACUUGGUUCUUAUUCUUAUGAAAUCUGGUCUGCCAUUUUUUAUGUCUA